AAAGGAAUAGACGGGGACCCGCACAAGCAGCGGAGCAUGUGGUUUAAUUCGAAGCAACGCGAAGAACCUUACCAGGGCUUGACAUCCCUCUGACCGGCCGGUAACGCGGCCUUCUCUUCGGAGCAGAGGUGACAGGUGGUGCAUGGUUGUCGUCAGCUCGUGUCGUGAGAUGUUGGGUUAAGUCCCGCAACGAGCGCAACCCUUGUCAUUAGUUGCCAUCAGGUCAUGCUGGGCACUCUAGUGAGACCGCCGGGGAUAACUCGGAGGAAGGUGGGGAUGACGUCAAAUCAUCAUGCCCCUUAUGUUCUGGGCUACACACGUGCUACAAUGGCCGGUACAGAGAGAAGCAAACUCGCGAGGGGGAGCAAAACUCUAAAACCGGUCCCAGUUCGGAUUGCAGGCUGAAACCCGCCUGCAUGAAGUCGGAGUUGCUAGUAAUCGCGAAUCAGAAUGUCGCGGUGAAUGCGUUCCCGGGUCUUGUACACACCGCCCGU
rnacentral:rRNA from 1 species